GAUGAACGCUGGCGGCGUGCCUAAUACAUGCAAGUCGAGCGAACGGACGAGAAGCUUGCUUCUCUGAUGUUAGCGGCGGACGGGUGAGUAACACGUGGAUAACCUACCUAUAAGACUGGGAUAACUUCGGGAAACCGGAGCUAAUACCGGAUAAUAUUUUGAACUGCAUGGUUCAAAAGUGAAAGACGGUCUUGCUGUCACUUAUAGAUGGAUCCGCGCUGCAUUAGCUAGUUGGUAAGGUAACGGCUUACCAAGGCAACGAUGCAUAGCCGACCUGAGAGGGUGAUCGGCCACACUGGAACUGAGACACGGUCCAGACUCCUACGGGAGGCAGCAGUAGGGAAUCUUCCGCAAUGGGCGAAAGCCUGACGGAGCAACGCCGCGUGAGUGAUGAAGGUCUUCGGAUCGUAAAACUCUGUUAUUAGGGAAGAACAUAUGUGUAAGUAACUGUGCACAUCUUGACGGUACCUAAUCAGAAAGCCACGGCUAACUACGU
rnacentral:rRNA from 1 species